UUUUCUUUAUGGAACGAUGAAAAGCUCUAUUAAGCACAACACAUCAUAGCCGUUUUUCUAUACAUCUCUCCAGGGAUUGUUUUAUCACGUUUUAUAAUCCAUUGGAUACGUGGAUUAUACCCAGUGUGAACAGAGAUUUCAAAAGAGGCAAGAGUACGUAUCACCUGUGUCAAAUAUACGUAGUAACUGUAACAAUGGUGUGCUAUGUAUAAUAGUAGGCAGAUUUUAUUGUCAGAAUUGAUUGUCUCAUCGGAUUAUAAUAAAACUCAACCAUUACAUUCUUACAGAGAAUCUUCAAAUAUUAAAACAAUUUCUCCUGUCAAUUACGGAAUAAAUCCUGACAAGGCUGUUAUUUCCUCUCCUUCUUGUAUUUCUCUAAAUUUAUUAAAAUUAUCCUUAAAUAAGUCAAUUAUAAUAAAUUAACAAAUUAAAGAACACGAUUUAAACAAAUAUUUGUACGCAAUCCUGUAACAUCUGUGCAUAUUACACUAUUGCUAUAUACGCAUGCGCCAUAUCAUUGAUAUGCCUAUUAUAAGCAGAUUCUAUGGACGGGCAGCGCAGAGGUGAUGAUAGUAGCCAAUAAUUGGCAACACAAAAACACACUAUGGUGGUGGUAACGUCCAGGUUGAGAUUACGAAGCAGCGUACCCAUAAGCUGCUCAUCAACUGCCACCAUGUAUGAAGCACGAUUUAACGGAGACUGAUUGACAAUAUCAACAUGGCUGAUGCCAAACUACCAUUUAAAGAUUACUAUAUGUUGAUGUCUCGCUCGUGUUGUACUGCGCUAUAGAACGCCGAAGAAGGUGUCUCCUAACUUCAAUUAAAACCAUACGAAAAACUGUUAUGUUACGCCAGACACCAGAGUUAACUAAUAUCAGUUUUGGAUGUUUCGGCGAAAAUGAAAACGUGACACUGAGUCCGGCUCAAGUCGACAAAGAAUGUCAAAUCUUUAUCUUAUUGGGUCGUUGGAAGAGAAUGCCAAUUUAUGAACCACGUGCUCACUUAUUGCAACGAUACAGAAGCGUAUUUCCAGACGAAAAAAGGCAUCACAACAAGUGGGUGAUUCCUUGGACAUGGUCAAGAAAUAUGACGACAAUAAUCGCAAAUUUGCUGAAAGCGCAAUAUGGACAUUUUACAGAUAUCGCGGUUCGGUUGUUUUGCUUUCGCCACAAUUAAUGGGUUAUUUAUAAAUCUCUGAUCUUGUUUUGGUGCUCCUUUGUAUGAGUUGACGAGAAAAUGCUAUACCUACCAUAUAUCGUUUUUCUACUACCAACAUUUUCUGAAUUGAAUUUAUUCUUAUAGCAUUGAUGCAUGCAGUAAUAUAAUUUAGUUUGGUGAUCUUGGCUCGUCGACCGUUGAAUCUUAUGAUUUGCGAUGGCAUGUGGUGAAAUAGUUUGGUAUAUACGCUACAAGAGCCACAAGAAAAGCGCGCAGUUCAGUUUAAGAUCUCGAUCUGAGAGGACGUGGUGAUAAAGCUUAAAUUCUAGUUUCGGGUAACGACCAGUAUGGGUAAAGGCAAGGGAGGUGGCGGUGGCGGUGGCGGCGGAGGUGGAUCCGGCGGAAACCCCGGUGGCAAUCAAAAAGGUGGUGGAGGCAAAUCGAAAGGUGGAAAUGAAAAUAAAGGUGCUGCUGGAGGUAAGGGAGGCAACAAAGGAGGACAAAAGGGUGGCAAUAAAAAAUAGCAGUGGCGAUCUUGUGAGCUUCAACCCGUUCCCAGGGCAACAUCCGCAACCCAUAGCCUUUCGGAAAAGAUAAUCUGGACUGUGAAAUUUUUUGGCUACAGAAGUCAAACGAAAUCAUUACUUUAUAAGUAUAGUUUGUUUUUUUUUUAAUGUAUUUAACUGUGGUAAAAUAUUAUGCAUGUGUAUAAUUUAUAAGUCACUUUAUAAUUAGAAGCAACAAAUGAAAUUAAAGACGCAAAAGUAUUAUUCACUGAAAGCA